AUUGAACGCUGGCGGCAGGCUUAACACAUGCAAGUCGAGCGGAGCGAGGGUGCUUGCACCUUAGCUUAGCGGCGGACGGGUGAGUAAUGCUUAGGAAUCUGCCUAUUAGUGGGGGACAACAUUUUGAAAGGAAUGCUAAUACCGCAUACGUCCUACGGGAGAAAGCAGGGGAUCUUCGGACCUUGCGCUAAUAGAUGAGCCUAAGUCGGAUUAGCUAGUUGGUGGGGUAAAGGCCUACCAAGGCGACGAUCUGUAGCGGGUCUGAGAGGAUGAUCCGCCACACUGGGACUGAGACACGGCCCAGACUCCUACGGGAGGCAGCAGUGGGGAAUAUUGGACAAUGGGCGCAAGCCUGAUCCAGCCAUGCCGCGUGUGUGAAGAAGGCCUUAUGGUUGUAAAGCACUUUAAGCGAGGAGGAGGCUACUCUAGUUAAUACCUAGAGAUAGUGGACGUUACUCGCAGAAUAAGCACCGGCUAACUCUGUGCCAGCCGCCGCCGUAACAC
rnacentral:rRNA from 1 species